CCUACGGGGGGCUGCAGUGGGGAAUAUUGGACAAUGGGCGAAAGCCUGAUCCAGCAAUGCCGCGUGAGUGAUGAAGGCCUUAGGGUUGUAAAGCUCUUUUACCAGGGAUGAUAAUGACAGUACCUGGAGAAUAAGCUCCGGCUAACUCCGUGCCAGCAGCCGCGGUAAUACGGAGGGAGCUAGCGUUGUUCGGAAUUACUGGGCGUAAAGCGCGCGUAGGCGGCUUUUUAAGUCAGGGGUGAAAUCCCGGGGCUCAACCCCGGAACUGCCCUUGAAACUGGAAAGCUAGAAUCUUGGAGAGGCGAGUGGAAUUCCGAGUGUAGAGGUGAAAUUCGUAGAUAUUCGGAAGAACACCAGUGGCGAAGGCGACUCGCUGGACAAGUAUUGACGCUGAGGUGCGAAAGCGUGGGGAGCAAACAGGAUUAGAUACCCUUGUAGU
rnacentral:rRNA from 1 species